rnacentral:lncRNA from 12 species
CGCACGCAAAAGUUUCAGAAGCGUCGUGUGUCUCGCAAACGCCAAAGUAUUUACACUCGGUAACUUCCAGAGGCUCUUUCUUGGUGUUUAUUUGUGUCGAGUCCUAGCAGCGUGACCCAGCCCAGCAGCGCUAUGAAUCUGACGAGCAAUGUGACAAGAGCCCCAAAAUAGCGCUGUGUCUAAUCCCGGGUUCGCCUCUGAGCUCAGGGCACAUGGCCCGUUUUUCUGUGCCACACCAACCACAACUGAACAACCGCCGGGCACCACAUGAAAGAAGAUAAGACACGCCCGGAAAGGAAAGUCAUGACACCUACUUUCUACCUCUCAUUUAUUAUUUUUUAAAAAACUGUUUUAUUUUAAAUUUUAAGUAUCCAUUCUUCCCCCCAAAUUUCCGAUUUAACCCUCAUUCAUAAUGCGGGACAAAUUUGGGCAAAAUCAUUAUUUAUUUUUUUAAAUAGUUUCCUAAGCUAAGACUUGGCUACUUUUCGUAAGUUUGCCACCUGAACACGCACAAAAAAAGAGACUCGAUUCAACAAAGUUAAGUGGUUGAAAAGAAACUCCUUAAUUUGUCAUUCGUGCCCAAAAAUGGGGCACCCAUAGAAAAUGAAUGGGAAGCUAUAGCACUUGCAUACC